rnacentral:tRNA from 1 species
GGGGACAGCUCGGCGGUAGAGCACGUGCCUGGCACGCACGAGGGCCUGGGUUCGAUCCCCAGUGCCGCCA